CAGUAAAAUGGCAUGUAGAACAAUUAACUGAUAAACAGCAUACAGAAAGAGGAAAGAACUUGGUUUCAAAUGUUUAUUUUUGAGGAAAAGAUGUUUGUUUUUGAACUUCCUGAUUCAGAGGGGCUUGUGGGACAUCUUGGUUAAGAUCCUGUAGUAGUUCUAGUAGGGUCUAGAAGUCAAAAGAUACAACCCCGCCUGGAAGGAUUUGGGAGUCUUCAGCAUUUGGAAGUUUGGAAGCCAUUGUUUACUGCAGUGCAUAUGAGAUAAUUUAAACUGGUACAUAGAUAAACACUUGAAAAAAUUUUAAUAGAUAGGAAUUUAAUGUGUAUGAGAAACAUAACUUGCACAUCUAACCUUUGAUAAUUAUGGACAUUAUCACUUAGGCCAAGUGAGCUCAAUAAAAGGGAAAUAUUAAUUAAAAAUAUAUGUGAUACAUGGAAAUGGCAAAAAUCACGGUGAAUCUAUGCAAACGAUGCAAGUUCAGAAAGUGCUGUGUUAAGUCAUGGGUGUGGUGGAUAAAUUCACCCAAGGAGAGAGUAAGAGUGAGAAGAAAAGAGAGUUGACAUUGGGUGGCAGGGAAUGGAGAAGAAGAACCCAUGAAGGAAACUGAGGAAGAGCAGCCAGACGAAUAGGAGGAAAACCAGGAGAAGAUGGUCUUUGGAGUCCAAAUGAAGAGUUCUGAGGAGGAAGUGGUCCACAGCGUCAAACUUGUGCAUCAUGGACAAUUUUGCUGAGGGAGAUUUCACUGUGGCGGAUUAUGCCUUGUUAGAAGAUUGCCCUUACGUGGAUGAUUGUGUCUUUGCUGCUGAAUUUAUGACCAAUGAUUAUGUUCGUGUGACUCAGCUUUACUGUGAUGGGGUGGGUAUGCAAUAUAAAGAUUAUAUCCAAAGUGAGAGGAAUUUAGGUGAGUACAUUGGUAUUUUUAAUGUUAAUUUAUGGAAAGACUGUAAAGGGAGGUCCAUCCAUCCUGUUAUAGCAAUACAACAGAUUUAUAUGCCUUUUAAAAAUGUAUUCUUACUAGUUUUUCACUAGAAAUCAGAACUUUUCUUUGUUAAAAUAGAGUUUUAGUCAGCAUUUAAAUAUUCUUAACAUUUAACAGGCUAAAAUACUUCAUUCAUUCAUUUCUUCCAUCUCCAUAUCCAGUUUUGCCUUUUUACUGUUAAGUGUUGAUUCAUUAAAAAAUGAGGCAUGAACAUUAAUUUUAAACUUUUUUUUUUUUAAUUAAGAAUUUGACAUCUGCAGUAUAUGGUGUAGUAAACCAGUUUCUGUCCUGCAAGAUUAUUGUGAUGCCAUUAAAAUAAACAUCUUCUGGCCACUUCUGUUUCAACAUCAAAACAGUUCUGUAAUAUCACGAUUGCAUCCCUGUGUGGACGCCAACAAUUCACGUGCUUCUGAGAUAAAUUUGAAGAAAUUACAACAUCUUGAGUUGAUGGAAGAUAUUGUGGAUUUGGCAAAGAAAGUUGCUAAUGAUUCAUUCCUUAUUGGAGGCUUAUUGAGAAUUGGUUGUAAAAUAGAAAAUAAAAUCUUGGCAAUGGAAGAAGCUCUGAAUUGGAUAAAAUAUGCAGGCGAUGUAACAAUUCUAACUAAAUUAGGAUCAAUUGAAAAUUGUUGGCCUAUGUUAAGUAUUUUCUUUACUGAAUGUAAGUAUAAAUGCUUUAAAUUGUUACUUGACUCAGUUUUUAAAGGUAUUUGGAAAAAUGAGAUGUGUAGUUACGUGAUUUCUGAUUUAUCUUAGAAUUUAAAAAAAUGUUUUUAUUUUGUUUUAUAUGCCUGAAAAAGAUAAUUUCUUUUUUAUUAUUUUUUAUUUUUUAUAUUUAUUUAUUUAUUUAUUUAUUUAUUUAUUUAUUUAUUUUGAGGCAGAGUCUUGCUUUGUUGCCCAUGCGGAGGUUGCGGUGAGCCAAGAUCAUGCCAUUGCACUCCAGCCUGGGCAACAAGAGUGAAACUGCAUCUCAAAAAAAAAAAAAAA
rnacentral:sRNA from 1 species